rnacentral:rRNA from 1 species
UUGGAGGGCAAGUCUGGUGCCAGCAGCCGCGGUAAUUCCAGCUCCAAUAGCGUAUAUUAAAGUUGUUGCAGUUAAAAAGCUCGUAGUUGAACUUCGGGGUUUACCCAUUGGUCAGGCUUAAUUGUCUGUACUGGUGAGAUAAAUCUCUACCUUCUGAGGAACUUUCAUGUCAUUAAUUUGGUGUGAUUGGAAAUCAGGACUGUUACUUUGAAAAAAUUAGAGUGUUUAAAGCAGGCUAACGUCUGAAUACAUUAGCAUGGAAUAAUGAAAUAGGACGGACUGAUUCUAUUUCGUUGGUUUCUAGGAUCACCGUAAUGAUUAAUAGGGACAGUCGGGGGCAUCAGUAUUCAAUUGUCAGAGGUGAAAUUCUUGGAUUUAUUGAAGACUAACUACUGCGAAAGCAUUUGCCAAGGAUGUUUUCAUUAAUCAGUGAACGAAAGUUAGGGGAUCGAAGACGAUCAGAUACCGUCGUAGUCUUAACCAUAAACUAUGCCGACUAGGGAUCGGACGAAGUUAAUUUUAUAAUGACGCGUUCGGCACCUUACGGGAAACCAAAG